CAGGGAGACAACAAAAUGUUUAAUAUUAUUAUUUUGUCACCUUAGGUCGAUCGGUAUCUCAGAUUCUUAAUUAAUUAAGAAUUUCAUUUCCUAAGUUUUUCUAGGUCACACCCAUUAUUUUUCCUGGGCCAUUAGCUCAGGUGGUUAGAGCGCACCCCUGAUAAGGGUGAGGUCCCUGGUUCAAGUCCAGGAUGGCCCAUAUCUCUAUGUUGGGGGUAUAGCUCAGUUGGUAGAGCGCCUGCUUUGCAAGCAGGAUGUCAGCGGUUCGAGUCCGCUUACCUCCACUGAUUACCACCUCUUCCAUAAUCUGUAGAAAGGAAAUGUUUUGAGUUGUGAUCAAAUUCUGAGCGAAUCUAGCUUCCUAAUGAAAGCAUUAAGAUGCUGGACUCAUUGAAUUAAUUUCAUUGUUUUCAGAGAACCUUGACAACUGCAUAGAUUAUUUUUUUAAAGACAAUAAGCAUCUUUAAUGAUGCAGAUUUAUUAUUUGUGCGAAUGCAUUAAUAACAAUUCUAUUAAGCUGAUGCUUCAAUUUUGAAGUUAUU
rnacentral:tRNA from 1 species